UACGGGGGGAGCAAGCGUUGUUCGGAUUUACUGGGCGUAAAGGGCGCGUAGGCGGCCACCGCAAGUCGACUGUGAAAUCUCCGGGCUUAACCCGGAAAGGUCAGCCGAUACUGCGGGGCUAGAGUGCAGAAGGGGCAACUGGAAUUCUCGGUGUAGCGGUGAAAUGCGUAGAUAUCAGGAAGAACACCUAUGGCGAAGGCAGCUCUCUGGGACGGUACUGACGCUGAGACGCGAAAGCGUGGGGAGCAAACAGG
rnacentral:rRNA from 1 species